rnacentral:lncRNA from 1 species
CAGCCUCCCACCUGUGCAUGCAUCACUCCCAUCCAGGCCCAUGCUGGACUGAGUAGAGUUGCUGUACAGAGAGGCUGCAUGGGUUUCUAGUCAAACCAGGACAGAAAUUGUGCAUGAGGGUACCCGAAAUACUGAGGACACAAAAUCUGUGUCAAAAACGAAACUGCUUGCAAUGCAGAGAGCAGAGUGACACAAUUGUUAGGGUGUGGAGAGGCAAACUGGAAAACUAGGACUCUUCUCAAGGUGUGAAAAUGACGGUUAUAAAUGCUGUCCAGCGCUUGUAAAGUAGCUCUAGCUGCUUUCCUGCCUCUUUGCUAAUUGCUUUAGAGGAGCCUUGAUGCUGCAGUUGUGACAAGAAGUAAAUAUAUGCUUGUUAGUAUGUUAGAAUGAAGCUUAGUUAUUUUUAACAAGACAAAACUAUUCUGGCUAUAUUUGCUGUACAACAGUUCACAUGGUGAAUUAUAUCUUGUAUCUACACGUUGCCAUUCUCAGGCUAUGUAUUUGUCAAGAUGUUUGUGAUUCAUUAAGUUCAUAAAGGUUUAAUCAGAGGCUGAAAUAGCCCAAUGUUUUACCCGCUUGUGCUUUUUAAUCCUUC